rnacentral:rRNA from 1 species
CAGUAGCCACGGUAAUACGUAGGGCGCAAGCGUUAUCCGGAAUUAUUGGGCGUAAAGAGCUCGUAGGCGGUUUGUCGCGUCUGCCGUGAAAGUCCGGGGCUCAACCCCGGAUCUGCGGUGGGUACGGGCAGACUAGAGUGAUGUAGGGGAGACUGGAAUUCCUGGUGUAGCGGUGAAAUGCGCAGAUAUCAGGAGGAACACCGAUGGCGAAGGCAGGUCUCUGGGCAUUAACUGACGCUGAGGAGCGAAAGCAUGGGGAGCGAACAGGAUUAGAUACCCCAGUAGUCCCUGUCUCUUAUAC